AAGCUUCCUAAUAAGUUUUAAAUAGAAUUGUUCAUAAAACCCUCGGAAUGAAGGAAAAGGUCUCUUUACUUCAGCUUCUCAAGAAGUUUUAAAUAGAACUGUUCAUCAAACCCUCGGCAUGGAGGAAGAGGUCUCGAUGGAAAAUGGAACUGUUCUUCAAAUCCUCAGAAUGGAGAAAGACGUAAGGUUUUCUUUCAUGUAAUUGGC